UCCCUGGAGGCUUAGACGGUAAAGCGUCUGCCUGCAAUGCGGGAGACCUGGGUUCGAUCCUUGGGUGGGGAA
rnacentral:tRNA from 1 species